UGUUCUGUGGUUUAGUUGGUUGAAGCGCUGGUCUAGCCAACACGGAGUCAUGGGUUCGAAUCUCAUCAGAACGC
rfam:Aedes albopictus isolate Foshan contig140354, whole genome shotgun sequence.